AGAAUCAACGCUGGCGGCGUGCCUAACACAUGCAAGUCGCACGAGAAAGGGGAGCAAUCCCUGAGUACAGUGGCGCACGGGUGAGUAACACGUGAAUAAUCUACCUCCGAGUGGGGAAUAAACUGAGAGAAAUCUUAGCUAAUACCGCAUAACACUUACGAGUCAAAGCAGCAAUGCGCUUGGAGAGGAGUUCGCGGCAGAUUAGUUAGUUGGCGGGGUAAUGGCCCACCAAGACGAUGAUCUGUAUCCGGCCUGAGAGGGCGCACGGACACACUGGGAACUGAAACACGGUCCAGACUCCUACGGGAGGCAGCAGUGGGGAAUUUUGCGCAAUGGGGGAAACCCUGACGCAGCAACGCCGCGUGGAGGAUGAAGCCCCUUGGGGUGUAAACUCCUUUCGAUCGGGAAGAUAAUGACGGUACCGAUAUAAGAAGCCCGGCUAACUUCGCGCCAGCAGCCGC
rnacentral:rRNA from 1 species